rnacentral:lncRNA from 10 species
CAUGUUGGUAGCUUGAAGCUGGCCACGGUCUGGUGACUGUGUGUCAUGGUUCAUCUGGAGUUCACAAGCAGGCCAAGGGUGGCUCCAGGCCUUUCUUGCACAGGCAUUGAACGCGACCCUCCGACCUCUCUAUUGUUACAUCUUUUCCCCUGCUGAGACCUCAUCAGCCUCCGAUCUUGGCUGAGAUAUCAUGUCCUCCCACAAACCCUCCUGAGCCAGGAACCCUCUUCCCAGUGGGACUCACUACAGAGAGGACCCAGCCUGUGGUGAUGAUGAUGAAGAAGUGGAUGGCUACGGCCUUUCUAAUUUUCCCACCAAACUGUGAGCUUCCAGACAGCUGGCAUAGAAGUACCCAAAACAUGUUUGUAGAAUGAAUGAAUGGCCUUCACAAGCUAAGGAACCCAUGGCUUCUUCACUGUCACUGAUUAGCAGUGGGCCCUGGAGCUUCUCUGAGCCUUGGGCUUCACAUCCAGCACAUGGGGCUCACGAGACCUGUGCUUCCUGUGUCUGCCCCACUGAGCUCUCUCCACCCUGCUGCGGGCUUAUAGGCCCCCAGCUCACAGCUAGAGUGGGUUGAAUAAUGUCCCCCAAAAUUCACACCCACCCGAACCCUCAGAAUGGGACCUUAUUUGGAAAUGGAGUCUUUGCAGAUGUAACUAAGGUGAGGAUCACAAUGAGAUCAUAUUAGAUUAGAGUGAGCUCCAAAUGCAAUGACAGGCAUCCUUGUAAGAGACAGAAAAGGACACAGAGAAGGCCAUGUGGAGGUGGAGGCAGAGUUUGGGACGAUGCAGCAGCCAGCCAAGGAGCACCCAAGAAUGCUGGGAGCUACCAGAAGCCACAAGGGCCAAAGAGGAUCCUCCUCCACCAGACGCUCUGCUGAUACCUAGAUUUUGGACUUCUGAUCCCUUGAACUGUGAGAAAAUACAUUUGCUGUUUUAACUGAAGUUGGUGUGUCCACAUUACAGGCUGCUGAGGUGGCCUGGCCACACACCUGCCUGGUGUCGUCCCUACUUGGAGCAGUGAGGUUUGACUCCACAGGAUCACAGCUGCUGCAAAGCUGUCUUCACAUCACUGAGGGAAAUGGAAGGCAACCUUAGAAGUUUCAUCUCUAUCCUCUCCUGGCCCCAAAUUAUUGCCUGAGAACCUAAUUUCCUUUCUCCCUUUCUUCCUGUUUUCUGUCCCUUCUUUCCUUCCUCCUUCCCUUUCCUCCCGUCCUUUCCUGCCUGCCUGCAAUUGCCUUAGUCUCAUGCCCUCCAUCCCAUCUAGCUCCAGCCUCCCUCUUCAGUUCUACCUCCCACCCACUCCAAGCAAGCCCCUUCCCCCAGCCAACUCCUCCCAAGGCAGCCCCUGGCCUCCCUGCCGUGUCUCCCUCAGCAGGUUCCCUUGGUCUAUGGUGCUCCGCCUCACAGGCAUACGUGGAAAAUCUGCUCCUUCACGUGCAAGCUCAGAUCCCACCUCCUCCUGGCACACCCUGGCGACAGUACUUCCCUCUGACUUUCCACCACACCGGUGUUCACAUAAAUGUCUUCGUACCUGAUCUGUGCCAGGUGGACCUAGGGGCCAGGAAGUACAGUGACCUCGCCAUCUGGUAAGGGAGUGGGAAAUGAUGAAGAGACAGCGUUGACAGGUGGGCAGCAGAGGAGGAAGCAGCAGCUUUUGCAGGACAGGGAGGGCUGUGUCCAGGAGGGAAGGGCCACAGGGACAGAGCACAUGCUCCAAGAGACAGGGAAGUCUGGGUAACAGGAUUUGGGGUUCAAAGGGAAAUGAAAAUGGGGGCCAGGUCAUGAGGUCAAGUUAGCCAUUCUGAGGACUUGAUCCUGUCGACGUUGAGUGUUCUGAGUGUGGGCUCCAGCCCACCUACAUCAGAAUUACCUCAGGAGUUUGUGAAAAUGCAAUUUUUUUUUGAGACAGAGUCUCACUCUGUUGCCCAGGCUGGAGUACAGUGGUGCAAUCUCAGCUCACUGCAACCCCUGCUUCCCGGGUUCAAGCAAUCCUCCUGCCUCAGCCUCCCGAGUAGCUGGGAUUACAGGCAUGUGCCCCCACGCCCGGCUAAUUUUUGUAUUUUCAGUAGAGACGAGGUUUCACCAUGUUGGCCAGGGUGGUCUCCAACUCCUGGCCUCAAGCGAUCCACCUGCCUCAGCCUCCCAAAGUGCUAGGAUUACAGGUGUGAGCCAUCGCACACCCAGCAGUGAAAAUGCAAUUCUUGAGUCUCCACCCAGCUCGGGAUUUUUCACAAGCUCCUUGGAUAAUGGUGACGCACCUUUAGUCUGCCCAGAACAGGAGAGGAUGGAGGCAGACUGAGGGAUUCGAAAGGACCAAGUGUCACGAUCAGAUCCACUUUUUGGAAGAAACUGGUAGCACCAACUACAUACGUGUCUUAUGUUCUUGGUUCUGCCUCCAUGGUGCACACUGUCGGUGCCACCUACUCAGCAACUAUCCCUCCUUCUUCCUUGUUAACAGAAGCCCAAUUCUAUUCAGCAUCAAGUAAGUGGACAUUAAUAUAUUCAGGGAAGGGAGGCUCCACCCCUAGCCCUACAGGAGAGCCCUAUUUGUCCCUUUUGUCCCGUACAAACAUUCCAGACUCCCUUGCAGCAAGAAGUGGCAAUGUGACAGUUAUGGUCCAUGAGGCAUAAGGGACAAGUUGUAAGAUGACUCUGGGGAAACCUGGCCUGUUAACAUGGGCUCAGGUGAAGGAAAAGCUGGCGGGUGCUGGGCCUGCUGCUUCUUGACACUGCGCAUGUGAGGAAGGGCCAUCUCACAACCAAGAGACAGCAAGACUUCCAGCCAGGUGUGGUGGCUCACUCCUAUAAACCCAGCACCUUGGGAGGCUGAGGUGGGAGCAUCGCUUGAGCCCAGGAGUCCAAGAUCAGCCUAGGCAACAUCGUGAGACUCCCUCUCUACAGAAAAUUUAAAAAUUAGCUGGGAGUAGCGGCGUGUGCCAGCUACUCAGGAGGCUGAGGUGGGAGGAUUGCUUGAGCCCAGAAGUUUGAGGCUGCAGUAAGCCAUGAUUACAGCACUGUACCCAAGCCUGGGUGACAAAGUGAGACCCUGUCUCAAAAAAAAAAAAAAGAAAAGAAAAAGCCUCUAUGUGUGCAGGGUGCCAGAGCAGAAGGAUGCAAAGAACCUGGUUCUUGAGGACAUGGUUCAGCCACUACCCCAAAUCCAGAACCACCCCCUCGCCCCACCACCAAGAUUUCUUGUCCUGAGAUUGUUAGACUGUAACCACCUUGAGGGCAGGGACUCUGAUACCUGUACUCCUGGCACCUUGAACAGUACUUAGCACACAGUAGGUGCUCAAUAAAUAUCUGUUGACUAAGUUUUCAUAAAUAAGUAAAUGUCUCCAUUGCUUAUACCAGUGGGUUGAGGCUUCUGUUGCUUGUAGCCAAGGAAUCCUGACUCAGUAACUUCUCUCUCUGGCCCCAAGAACCUCCUGAGAACAGGAGAGGGGCUGGGUAUUACUGAACACUGUACUCCACAGGCCCUGGCACAAGACCCACACUCGGUAGAAAUAAGCAGCUCUUGCUCAGAGGAGUCACAGACCCUGCCCUGGACCUGGCUUCUGGGUUCACCAGAGCUGGAGGGUUGAGUCUGCAAGUUCCCCUCACACAGACCUAGGGCAAGACGCCCUGUAACAGCUGAUGAGAGGAGCUUAAGAAAGUCCACUGGGGGCCGGGCGCGGUGGCUCACGCCUGUAAUCCCAGCACUUUGGGAGGCCGAGGUGGGCGGAUCAUGAGGUCAGGAGAUCGAGACCAUCCUGACUAACAUAGUGAAACCCUAUCUCUAUUAAAAAUAGAAAAAAUUAGCCAGGCAUGGUGGUGGGCGCCUGUUGUCCCAGCUACUCAGGAGGCUGAGGCAGAAGAAUGGCGUGAAUCCGGGAGGAGAGCUUUCAGUGAGCCGAGAUCGCGCCACUGCACUCCAGCCUGGGCGACAGAGCAAGACUCCAUCUCCAAAAAAAAAAAAGAAAGUCCACUAGGUCUCCCACACCAGCGAUACCCAGAGGCCACACCAGCUGCAGGCUGAGCGGGUGGAAGCUGGCAGCAAGCACUGCCACUAGAUUUGUCUUGAGGUGAAAGAACUUCUGAGACUAGCCAGAUCCAACCUCCACACAAGUCAGGAAUUUUUAAGCCACUGUCUUCAAGUCCCUCCCAGUUCUAAGUGUGGCAGCCCUGGGAUGCCGCAAUGAGGGAUGAGGGACAGGGCAUGAGCCGCUCAA